rnacentral:rRNA from 1 species
CGGCGGACGGGUGAGUAACGCGUGGGAAUAUGCCCUUCUCUAAGGAAUAGCCUCGGGAAACUGAGAGUAAUACCUUAUACGCCCUACGGGGGAAAGAUUUAUCGGAGAAGGAUUAGCCCGCGUUAGAUUAGGUAGUUGGUGGGGUAAUGGCCUACCAAGCCUACGAUCUAUAGCUGGUUUGAGAGGAUGAUCAGCCACACUGGGACUGAGACACGGCCCAGACUCC